rnacentral:rRNA from 1 species
UGACCUCGGAUCAGGUAGGAAUACCCGCUGAACUUAAGCAUAUCAAUAAGACGGAGGA